rnacentral:ribozyme from 1 species
AAAAAAUGAAUCAGAAAUACAAAGAAGGAUAGCACUCGAGUGUGUCUCGUGUGUUUCAGUUGUUUUUGUUUGGUUUUUCGUUCGCUAAAAUUUCUUUUGUGUGUUUUUUA